AUCCUGGCUUAGGACGAACGACUGGCGGCGAUGCUUCAUACAUGCAAGUCGAACGAUAAGGUCUCUUCGGAGAUACAUAAGUGGCGGACGGGUGAGUAAUAUGUAGGAAAUCUGCCCUAGAGAGGGGGACAACAGAGGGAAACUUCUGCUAAUACCCAUAUGAGCGUACCUGAAAUGGUAUUCUUGAAAACUCCGGUGCUCUAGGAUGAGCCUGCAUCUGAUUAGCUAGUUGGCGGUGUAAUGGACCACCAAGGCGACGAUCAGUAGCUGGUUUGAGAGGAUGAUCAGCCACAAUGGGACUGAGACACGGCCCAUACUCCUACGGGAGGCAGCAGUAGGGAAUUUUGCGCAAUGGGCGAAAGCCUGAACCGCAGCAAUGCCGCGUGAACGUAGAAGCCCUUCGGGGUGUAAAGUUCUGUCAGUGGGGACGAAUAAUGACGGUACCCACAGAGGAAGCACCGGCUAACUCCGUGCCAGCCGCUGC
rnacentral:rRNA from 1 species